rnacentral:ribozyme from 1 species
CGAAAUCCUCAUUCUCCUCCUCUCCCUUCUCCUCCUUCUCUGUGCACUUCUUCUCCCUUCAUUCUCUCCUCUUUAACUAAUCCCUCUCCCCCUCUAUCUUCCUCUUUCUCUCCUU